rfam:Poecilia formosa, whole genome shotgun sequence.
UUGGCUGGGCCAGAGGCUGCAACACAGGACAUGGGUCCUGCCUCUUCCUACCACUCGUGUCUUGUGUUGCAGCCAGUGGAGCUGC